AUUGAACGCUGGCGGCAGGCCUAACCCAUGCAAGUCGGGCGAGUCGCGGACGGGUGAGUAAUGUAUGGGGAUCUGCCUGAUGGAGGGGGAUAACUACUGGAAACGGUAGCUAAUACCGCAUACACUCAGAUGACCCCCUAUGGGAUUAGCUUGUUGGUAAGGUAACGGCUUACCUAGGCGACGAUCCCUAGCUGGUCUGAGAGGAUGAUCAGCCACAGUGGAACUGAGACACGGCCCAGACUCCUACGGGAGGCAGCAUUGGGGAAUAUUCCACAAUGGGCGCAAGCCUGAUACAGCCAUGCCGCGUGUAUGAAGAAGGCCUUCGGGUUGUAAAGUACUUUCAGUCGGGAGGCGUUACCCACAGAAGAAGCACCGGCUAACUCCGUGCCAGCAGCCGCGGUAAUGC
rnacentral:rRNA from 1 species